AUUGAACGCUGGCGGCAGGCCUAACACAUGCAAGUCGAGCGGUAGCACAGAGAGCUUGCUCUCGGGUGACGAGCGGCGGACGGGUGAGUAAUGUCUGGGAAACUGCCUGAUGGAGGGGGAUAACUACUGGAAACGGUAGCUAAUACCGCAUAACGUCGCAAGACCAAAGUGGGGGACCUUCGGGCCUCAUGCCAUCAGAUGUGCCCAGAUGGGAUUAGCUAGUAGGUGGGGUAAUGGCUCACCUAGGCGACGAUCCCCAGCUGGUCUGAGGGGAUGACCAGCCACACUGGAACUGAGACACGGUCCAGACUCCUACGGGAGGCAGCAGUGGGGAAUAUUGCACAAUGGGCGCAAGCCCGAUGCAGCCAUGCCGCGUGUGCGAAGAAGGCCUUCGGGUUGUAAAGCACUUUCAGCGGGGAGGAAGGCGGUGAGGUUAAUAACCUCAUCGAUUGACGUUACCCGCAGAAGAAGCACCGGCUAACUCCGUGCCAGCAGCCGCGGUAAUACGGAGGGUGCAAGCGUUAAUCGGAAUUACUGGGCGUAAAGCGCACGCAGGCGGUCUGUCAAGUCGGAUGUGAAAUCCCCGGGCUCAACCUGGGAACUGCAUUCGAAACUGGCAGGCUAGAGUCUUGUAGAGGGGGGUAGAAUUCCAGGUGUAGCGGUGAAAUGCGUAGAGAUCUGGAGGAAUACCGGUGGCGAAGGCGGCCCCCUGGACAAAGACUGACGCUCAGGCGCGAAAGCGUGGGGAGCAAACAGGAUUAGAUACCCUGGUAGUCCACGCCGUAAACGAUGUCGAUUUGGAGGUUGUGCCCUUGAGGCGUGGCUUCCGGAGCUAACGCGUUAAAUCGACCGCCUGGGGAGUACGGCCGCAAGGUUAAAACUCAAAUGAAUUGACGGGGGCCCGCACAAGCGGUGGAGCAUGUGGUUUAAUUCGAUGCAACGCGAAGAACCUUACCUGGUCUUGACAUCCACAGAACUUUCCAGAGAUGGAUUGGUGCCUUCGGGAACUGUGAGACAGGUGCUGCAUGGCUGUCGUUAGCUCGUGUUGUGAAAUGUUGGGUUAAGUCCCGCAACGAGCGCAACCCUUAUCCUUUGUUGCCAGCGGUCCGGCCGGGAACUCAAAGGAGACUGCCAGUGAUAAACUGGAGGAAGGUGGGGAUGACGUCAAGUCAUCAUGGCCCUUACGACCAGGGCUACACACGUGCUACAAUGGCAUAUACAAAGAGAAGCGACCUCGCGAGAGCAAGCGGACCUCAUAAAGUAUGUCGUAGUCCGGAUUGGAGUCUGCAACUCGACUCCAUGAAGUCGGAAUCGCUAGUAAUCGUAGAUCAGAAUGCUACGGUGAAUACGUUCCCGGGCCU
rnacentral:rRNA from 1 species